rnacentral:misc_RNA from 1 species
GUGAAUCAUCAAAUUUUUGAACGCAAAUUGCGCUUCCUGGCAUCCCGGGAAGUAUGCCUGUUUGAGGGUCAGUAUUAAUAAAAAUUCGGUUUAGUAACAAAUUGUGACGUUUCCGGGGUUUGGGUUAUUUUAACAUUUUUGGUUAAGAGUCUUAAAAUUGACCUUUUUUGCGAUUUUUUAAACGAACAUAAAUUUUUUUUAUUUGUCUUUGCUUAAUGCUAAAAUCUAAUUAGAUGCGAUAACAU